rnacentral:rRNA from 1 species
AUACGGAGGAUGCAAGCGUUAUCCGGAUUUAUUGGGUUUAAAGGGUGCGUAGGCGGUUUGCUAAGCGGGAGGUGAAAUGCCGGCGCUCAACGUCGGAAGUGCCUCCCGAACUGGUGGACUUGAAUGACUCUGCCGUGGGAGGAAUGUGUAGUGUAGCGGUGAAAUGCUUAGAGAUUACACAGAACACCGAUUGCGAAGGCAUCUCACGAAGGGUUGAUUGACGCUGAGGCACGAAAGCGUGAGGAACAAACAGGAUUAGAUACCCUGGUAGUCCAUGCAGUAAACGAUGAUGGCUAACCGCUGGGCUUAUCAGUUCAGUGGCCAAGCGAAAGCGAUAAGCCAUCCACCUGGGGAGUACGACCGCAAGGUUGAAACUCAAAGGAAUUGACGGGG